GUAACUAAAAGUAGAACAUCUGGAAGGAGUUCAGACCAGCGGGAAGGAUUGGUAGAUUUCUUCAUUGGCGGCGGUAGGAAUGAGAAAGACUCGAGAAUUUUAACAAAGGACGACAACACAGCCACCACUGUAAAUUGGGUUUAUAUACCUAGUUUCAGGCCAACAUAGGAAAGAUCCUUAGCUGGAAAGCAAACCAGGCAAGCUAAUAAAGAAGAAAUAUUUGGCAGCAUAGUCUGAAAUGAUGACACGUAUUGAAGUGGGCCUAAGGAAAUGCAUAUAGUGAGUUGUCAAGAGAGGAAAUCAUAAUCACAUGUAUCACAAUCCGAAUCUUCUAUGAAGAUUGAAACUUGUAGAGAGGAAAUCACAACAUUUACUAUUAAAAACUGAAAAUUGUGCCAUGUUGACUCAAUUAAGUAUUGGUGCUGUCAAUCAAUCUCUUCAAAAACACAAUUGCAAUAACACAACUUAACUGUGCAUUGCAAAUUUUCAUAGCAUAUAAAUAUAACAUUUAAACUCGACAAACAAGAAACCUUUCUUUUCUCGAGUUAAAAAAGGACAGCAAGAGUUUCCUAAUUGCAAUCAAAAUCUUAUUAGAGAUCUGUUGUUUCUUCUUAGCAUGGUAUUUAUGUUUGGCCUAUUUAGUACGAUAACACUAAACAGUUUCCAAUAUGUAAUACAAAUUCAGUGAAGAACUCUAAUAUAUAUCUUUAUAUAUAUUAUCAAAAGUCUAGAAAAAGAAAACUAAUUGAAACUGAGAUUUUCAUAUUCUCUUGAUUAUAGAAUUUUUGUAUGCAUAAUACUAGUACAUAACCUUGAGAACAGCAUGUAUAAGGCACAAAAGAGGCUUAUGUGGCACACUAUUGAAGAGAGAAUUGGGCUUUGCAGUUUGAACUGAGGACAUGCUUUAUAAAAUGGGAAGAAAUAGCUUCAAUAAAAUGAAUAACCCACUUAUGAGAUAAGAACAUUGAAAUAAUCUAUUUUGGUACAUCUCUAAAAAAGGUUCACGAAGUACUUCCAACUAAAACGACCAAUGAAUACUAAGUACAAAAAUGGAAAUGCUUUCUCAAUAUCCAAAUCACACUCGGAAAAAAUUAUUUAUUGUUGUUAGGCUGAAAUUACAUGGACGUGUCAAAAUGUGCCACAAUUUUAAGUGAUAUUCAACGUAGUGUAUGACUUAUCCUGCACACCAGUUUACAAAGACAAACAAACACUUGACGAGAUUCAUCAUUGCAGCUGAAUUUAAUGGCAAGUGAGAACACUAGUAUAUAUAUGAAAGGAAAUUCCUCAAUAUAAGAAGUUCCUACAAAAUUUUCGACAAAAAGAACACCAUCCCCUUCACUUCAAAUAAUUCUACCCUCUAGCAAUUUCCUAUCAUUUAAAGCUAUUCAAUUAGCUACUUACGAGGGUGAUAAUGCAUACAGAACAAUAAUCUGGCCCUAUCUCACAGUCAUAGUGAAAUUUAGAAGUACGCAAUUUGCUACCUUAAAACAGAAGAGGUUAAAUGAGGUUUCCACGAAGAGUUAUCAGUCAUCCCUAAUAACAGCUUGCAACGGGAGAAAAAAUCAUGUUGCAUUAAGUUAAAUAGACACUCAAUAGUCAUUGUUUGUUUGAGAAUUAUGGGCAGCAGGGAUGGACCUAAUCGGAGGAUCAUACUUGUUGAUGGUGUUAUUGGUUUGUAAGACCAACAUAGGUUAUAAUUUGAUAUCACCUAGGUUAUAAUUUGAACAGAGAUCUGGUCUUCUUUAUUUGAUGUUACAUUCUUUAUUAUGAAAAAAGGUUAUACAGAACGUGAAAUUUCUUAGGCGUAAUUAUAUAUGUAACCAUUUAUUGUUCUUGACUUCUUGUAUUUAUAUUUCCUGACUUCUGACAACUAAAUUAUCGCACACCCCCCCCCCCCUCUCUCUCUCUCUCUCCUCUGAACACACACCCCCGAAAUCACAAACCCCGACCAUGUACUGAACACCUUCAGUAUAUGCAUUAUAAAUCCAUUCAGCUUUCCACAGUUGAAAAGGUAAUGAACUCAAUGAGUUUAAUUUGAUAGUUGGUUUAUUAGAAAAACAUAAGAAUACUUUGAUCAAUUUGACGAAAAAAUUAGAGUGGUGUUCAUAUUUAUGUGCAUAAAAAUAGGACAACAAACAUAAGUCCGACAAGAACACUUAAUAAAUUUUGUAGGAUAUUCAACUUUUUAAAAGUAGAGUACUACUUCCCCCGGUGGAAAAAGGUUAACAAAAUAUACUAUACACAUUCAAUCAUUAAGGCUCAGUGUACUGUUACGCCAUCUUAUCUGAAGAGUGAAGAACAAAAAGUAGGGAACAAUGCACAACUCUUACCUGAAACAUGAAUCCUUAUGUAAGUGUAUUGUAACCCAAACUGGUGGUGAAGACAGCAUUACUGAUAAUAUCAGGAUCCAAAAACUGUGUAACGCGGUAGAGGUUCCAGCACCAACCUCUGGAAGUCAUUGGAGUAAGAGUAAGUUGUCCAAGGGAGUUAAGUCUCCGUAGUUGGUUGAGUGAGACAUUUUGUCAAACACUUGGCAGGCUAAAUAGAGACAACACUUGGAAAGGUUCAAGCAACCUCACGAGUACUUGGCCAGUUGGCCGUAAUGC
rnacentral:lncRNA from 1 species